UGGCAGACGGGUGAGUAACGCGUGGGUAACCUGCCCUGUACAGGGGGACAACAGUUAGAAAUGACUGCUAAUACCGCAUAAGCGCACAGGACCGCAUGGUCCGGUGUGAAAAACUCCGGUGGUACAGGAUGGACCCGCGUCUGAUUAGGUAGUUGGCGGGGUAACGGCCCACCAAGCCGACGAUCAGUAGCCGACCUGAGAGGGUGACCGGCCACAUUGGGACUGAGACACGGCCCAAACUCCUACGGGAGGCAGCAG
rnacentral:rRNA from 1 species